rnacentral:rRNA from 1 species
CCUACGGGAGGCAGCAGUGAGGAAUAUUGGUCAAUGGCCGGAAGGCUGAACCAGCCACGCCGCGUGAAGGACGAAGGUGCCAAGCAUUGUAAACUUCUUUUGUCAAGGGACAAAAUCAGGCUCGAGAGCCUGACCGAGGGUACUUGAAGAAAAAGCAUCGGCAAACUCGGUGCCAGCAGCCGCGGUAAUACGGGGGAUGCGAGCGUUAUCCGGAUUUAUUGGGGUUAAAGGGUGCGUAGGCGGGCUGUUAAGUCAGCGGUAAAAGCCCGGGGCUCAACCCCGGCGAGCCGUUGAAACUGGCUGUCUUGAGAUGUCGAGAGGUAGGCGGAAUGCGCAGUGUAGCGGUGAAAUGCUUAGAUAUUGCGCAGAACUCCGAUUGCGAAGGCAGCAUGCCGGCGGCGAUCUGACGCUGAGGCACGAAAGCGUGGGUAUCGAACAGGAUUAGAUACCCUUGUAGUC